rnacentral:rRNA from 1 species
UACGAAGGGGGCUAGCGUUACUCGGAUUGACUGGGCGUAAAGGGCGCGUAGGCGGCUUGUACAGUCAGACGUGAAAUUCCUGGGCUCAACCUGGGGGCUGCGUUUGAUACGUGCGGGCUUGAGUUCGGAAGAGGGUCGUGGAAUUCCCAGUGUAGAGGUGAAAUUCGUAGAUAUUGGGAAGAACACCGGUGGCGAAGGCGGCGACCUGGUCCGAUACUGACUCAUGAGCGAAAGCGUGGGGAGCGGAUCCGG